rnacentral:lncRNA from 1 species
GUGAGAAAUCCUUACAGAUUUUUAUUAGUGAAAAUUAAUAAGCUGGUUUUCAAUUGUAGGUGGAAAAGCAAAAGACCAAGGGAGGCCAAGUUGCUCUUCAAGAAGAUGAACAAGCUUCCCUUCUCUCUUCUGCGGCUGGCCUGUGUCCAGCGCCCUGAGAUGCAGGUGAGGAGUGGGCGGAGGUGCCGCGAGGUGGGGGGAGAAAACGCAGCGGGGCAGGGAGAAGGGACCUCAUCCUAUGGCUGGCUCCCGAGGCCUAUAGGCCGCGGUUUCUAUAGACAGCCAGCAGCAGGAGUCCCCGGAAUAAAGUAUAUUGAAGUCAUUCAGCUUUGAAGACUUCCUGUAUACUUUCAAGCUGCCCAUGACAUCAUUUUGCUAGGCGGCUCCGAACAAUAGGCGGGGGAGGGCGGCCGUGAACCAAUCUACAAAGCAACAAGAACCAAGCGAGAGGUUGCGACAGAAGCUGCCGCGGUCGAAGUAGACAUUCCCGAACCAACUGGCCCGAAAGCACCGGCCCCCCGAGUUUCCAGAGGUGGCCGGAGAGAGCGCCCCUGGCCCUAACAGCAGGCCCCACCCGCCCACGCGGAGCCCGUGACCUUGCUCCGUGGAACAACAGCGGCAGACACACAGGGAAAGUCACGUGACUUCCAAACGGUUCAUCCAUCCAAGUUCAAUAAAUUAGCAGCCAAA